CCUACGGGGGGCAGCAGUGAGGAAUAUUGGUCAAUGGACGAGAGUCUGAACCAGCCAAGUAGCGUGAAGGAUGACGGCCCUAUGGGUUGUAAACUUCUUUUAUAUGGGAAUAAAAUGUUCCACGUGUGGGAUUUUGUAUGUACCAUAUGAAUAAGGAUCGGCUAACUCCGUGCCAGCAGCCGCGGUAAUACGGAGGAUCCGAGCGUUAUCCGGAUUUAUUGGGUUUAAAGGGAGCGUAGGUGGAUUGUUAAGUCAGUUGUGAAAGUUUGCGGCGCAACCGUAAAAUUGCAGUUGAAACUGGCAGUCUGGAGUGCAGUAGAGGUGGGCGGAAUUCGUGGUGUAGCGGUGAAAUGCGUAGAUAUCAAGAAGAACUCCGAUUGCGAAGGCAGCUCACUGGACUGCAACUGACACUGAGGCUCGAAAGUGUGGGUAUCAAACAGGAUUAGAUACCCUAGUAGUC
rnacentral:rRNA from 1 species